GGGCAGCCAUGCCUGCAUGGGCGAUGGGAGCUUGGCUUUCCCCAAGGGUAAGCACCAUAGACCUUCUCCAGAUUUAUUCUCUGAUUUAGCACCAGACUCUGGAAAAGAGAUGCUGGAGACACUAAUUUCAGCAUUUCCAGCAACAGAAUUCCUACUGGAAACGUGACUGAAUAAUGGCAUCACCGUUCAUCUCCCUUUGAUUUAUAUAGCACAAGCAUUUGCCUGUUCCAUUUCUCUUUGCAGGCUUUCUGGUGGGAAAUGGGAGUCUCCCAAACUUUCCUACAGUGAGGGUUUUAUAGGCAAUUCCAUGCCAAAAAUGUUUGUCUGGUCACCUUAAAACUACCCAUAUCACCCCAAAUCCCGGGUUGUGCAAAGGGGUGUUGAACAUGUUCCAUGGAGCACCCAAAGGGUCCAUCACUCAGCAUCCUGAAGCUGCCUCCGAGCGACUCCCAGGACCCAAGCGGGCUGUUGCAGCAGUUUGUGUUUGCCUAUCGAAGUGAAAUCUCUCAUGCGUGCGGAGAGAAAGUAUCCAGCGGGGUACCCAACUGCAGUGCCUGCUGCCCCUCGGUCGACGUGGCUCGGGAGUUAUCCCUGCUGAAGCCAGCAGGCAUUAGAAGAAAUAGAAGAGUGAUAGGAGCAGUGGGUAAGCCUUCAAUAUUUACCACCUUGUGCCAGAUUACGUCAUGCAACCUUCAACAAUGUUGUGACUUUUUUUUAGCUGAUGGGAUGCAGAAGAGCAGGGGACCUCAUCCACUUGAAAUUUCUUUGAUGUUCCCCACAGGAAGUUUUUUAAUAUUUGGUCAAUUGGAUGUUUUUCAAGUAUUUCAUUGUGGUCGGGACCUAGGACAACCAUCUGCUAUUUUUGCAAGUUGGCAAUGAGAAAGGUGGACCUGUUCAUUGUGCUCUGCAACGCUUCCAGUGGCAGGGACGAUGCUGAGCGCAUGGUCCUGUGCGAGCCUGCAGGACAGGAGCACGGUGCCAUCAAACAUAUUUUGCAAGAGCAAAAUCUCAGUGAUUUUGAAGUUUUGGGUUCCUGAGGGUCAGCGUCCUAAGAGCAUGUUGGUGCAAUGAAGAAGUUCGAUGGUGACCUGGAAAAUGAGAGACACGGGUUGGGGGAGCUGGAAGUAAAACCAGGUUGAGCAUCACCUGUCAUGGGAGGAUUUCACUCGUAUCAGGAGUAUAUCAAAGCUUGACAAAUUCACCUGUUGGAGACUUCACACAGCUGAUUUAUUUGCCAGGACAGGUGGAGAGCUGCUCAGGCUUACUGCUGAGCAAAGUGGCAUGAGAAGAGGCACAUUAAAGAAGUUCUGCCUCUGAUUGCAGCAACGAGAGCGCGACUGUUACAGCACCGCAAAUUAGCAGACGGUUUUAAACCAGCUCCCAAGCACUGAAAUUAAAAGCACUUAAUACAGGAAUCAUAUUCUCUAGCUAAGGCACAACGGGACUCUGGUGAAUUUAGUUUAUAAUGUUUCCGUGUUGUAACAGAAAUUUGUCUUUUUGAGGCAAUCAGGGGAGCCGCAUUACAGCAGGACUUGCAAAGAUUCGCGUUUGUGUCUAGUGGCUGCAAGUGCAUUAACUCUUUCGUGUGAACUUCUCUGCGAGUGCCAUGAUUUCUUCUAUGCUGAAUUCAGUGGACCUCUGAAAAAUAACGUUCAAUUCAAGGUGAGUAGGACAUAGGUAACAAAAUCUGCCUCGUGCUCAUAUCUUGAAGAGAAAAAAGGUUCUCAUCAUGGAAUUAUAUGAGUAAAGUUACAUUAGACCACCUCCUCUUGGGGUGAUUUGUUGUGACUUUAACAAUUAAGCGACAGUCAACCUCUGGUGAUGUGGCUAAGCUAACAACCACAUCCAUGAACAUUUAAAUCAAGAAUGCAAUUUCUGGAAGAUUAUUAUUCUCAAGAAGAAAUAAAAUAGUCUUACAUUAAUUAAUUUUUUUCUACCCAAAAUGAUAUUGGGUAGACAUGUCAGCCUUUUUUCCCUUUCUCUCAAAGGUUGGCAAACACACCACAAUACCAUGUAUUGUAAUGAGAUAGCAGAGGAGACGACUGCUAUGCUCAUUACUGUUUCAUUACUUUGUGAUCGUGAGAGCUUUUUUCCAUCAGUGCCUGAUUUCUAUAUUAUCAAGAGAAGGGCAAGGUCUUUGAUGUUUUGUAACAAUCUUCAGUGCUACUAGAAAACUACUUGUUUUCUUCUUUUUCAAGGAUACGUCAGUGGUUUAUAAUUGAUCUAUAGCAGAUCUUUCAGAUUUAACCUUAGGUCAUAUAUAAAAUAUUAAAUAUGGCCAUUAUAGGGACUAUGCCUUUUUAGAAAACCGUAUGGGUGUUAGCCUUUAUGUCCUAGACAAAUUCCAAUUUGAGUAAUUAAAUUUUGCCUGCAUUCAUUUUCCAUGCAAUUUUAAUUGGAUACAAUAUUUUUCACUUCCAGUGCAAAGUAACAGUGCAUUGUCCUGUGCUGUGAAAGAGUUAAUACGUGCUGAGCUAGAGGUUGCUGCACUUCAGUAGUAAGUGAAUCUGCUAUGUAUGUUUGAAGAAACCAGCACAGAAAAAUGCCAAAUCCUCUUGAAAUAAGGUACAAAAUUUGUCAGAUGUUUUGGCAUGCUGUAAACAUUUAAAAUUACAUUAGUGGCAUCCAAGUUAUCACAUACAUAUCCUAAAAAGCAGAUUUUCAUAGUGUUCAAAUAUUCGGUAUGCAGCUCAUCAGAUUGCAUUAACCACCCCUACAAAAGGGAAAAGAAUCAAUACAUAUGUAAAUGUGACUCUGGUUUAAAAAGCUAUUCUUGGUUUUACUGUUACCAUGCUAAAAGACGUUGUAAACUGCAACAGACCCAUUUCCUACGGGUUGGCUUCCCUGUGCCACCGGAGCAAGUGGAGCAUGCAGCUUGCCAGAAGAUGAAUGCAAUGGAAUGAGGGCUGGUGUUAAUCAUUUACAGAAGAUCUUGUUCCAUGUUGAGGAGGUGCCUAGAGAUGAAACUCGUUUGAGAGGUUUUCCUGGACUUUGGAAAUCGCAUAGAUUGUUUAAACAUUUAUUAUGGAUUACAUAUCAUGAGAGAAACAUCCUUUGGUUUUUGGAUUAGGCAGUAAGUAUUGUCAUUAACACUAGGCUUUGUCUAAUUUAAGAAAUCUGCGUCAGUUGUCUGAGGCUGUGAGGUCCAUUAGCACAUUUUUCUUCAUCUGUAGAAAAUUUUACAGGUCAUCUAGCCUUAUACUUUUUAGUUUUCUAGUCUUGAAGAUAAAAACGAUUCCAAAUGUUCACAAAGUCUGAAAUUAUAUGUAUAAAAAAGAGCAGACAAAUAACACUUUCACUAAGCAGAGGUCCUUGAAGUUGUUUACAUUCAUAUAUAUCAAUAAAAUCAAAAGCUGGGUGUUCUUCUUCAUUCUCCCCUUCGUACAAUGUAUUUGUUUCCUCUGAAAGGAGUUGGCACUGGAGAGAAUAAUGAUUGAAAUCCCAAAGGUGACAGAAUUUGACCCUGACAAGGGUUGAGAAGUUUGGCUGAGCACAGCAAAGGAGUGAGACCCAUGAAUGCUUGGGGGACAACAGUCACCCCAAGGGUGAAGUGCAGAAGGGUGUUGCAAGGAUGGGAGCUGCUCUUGGGUAACCCCAAAAGAUAUUAAUCGCUUUGAGAUCACAUGUCCUCCGUUAAAAUUUGCUCACCCUGAUGUAGGGUAUGGAAACCUGGCAAAGGCAAAGAAUACGAGGGGAAUUUUGGAUUGGUUUGCUGACAGAUGCCCGAGGGGGAUCAGGAAGGCCAUGUGGACGGACAUAAGGAUUUAAAUGGUUUAGGAGAUAAACAGGCAGUAAGAGAAGGCAGAGGUGAGAGAGAAUGGAGACCUGCUCUGCCAUCGGUGUAGCGAGCAGAGGCUGCCCAGGUUAGGUAGAUGGGUUCAGGGAGAAAUAGUCAUAAAUCAUGAGGGACCCUCAAUGUCUGUGGAGAGAUUCACUCCCAGUCCUCCAACAAGGCAUUUGCCCACAGUGCAGUUUUAAAUAUGAAUUCACGUUAAAAUGCAGAGUAUUUUGUAGAAUCAAAAUCUCAGUGAAGGAAUUCUUGUGCAUUAAAUACAGACAGGUGAUCAAUAGGGGAAGUUAUUAAUAAAAAUAUGAUCAGAGAAUAUUUUGCCUUUUAAAUUCCUUAUUGAGUAGCCAUAGUGGAGUUUUGGUUUGUUUACGUUGAGGAUCCCAAGAGAGAGCUUUCCGAAUAUUUGAGGACAAUCUGUGGGGAUUUUUGCUCCCAUCUGUGGCUUUCCUCUUGGAAUUUAGUUCUCAUGCUGUAACCUGAGCAUCACUUUAGGUCAUUCAAAACCAUUUAUUAUCUUAUUAAAUGGAACUACCUUCACUGCUCCCGCAUCAAGUUGUAUGGGAAUAAGCCCACGAAGCAUCAUGAGCGAUGUUGUGCUUUGUAGGUUAAAGUGAUGCAAAUGCAACUUUUAACCUUGUGUUUAAGAGAGUAAGGAGCAUUCUAGUUUUAUGGUUUUUUUGUGUGUGUUCUUGCACGUUCAGUGCUGCUUUAUGGCACAUGCCACCAUGCCGGUGAAAUGCCAUGAUGUGGCAUGUGCCGCCUGGUUCCCCAAGAGCACUCAUGAGGUGGCUCGGCAUGGAAAGCAGCCGAAUGAAGCUGUGCACAGUUGGCCCUUCAGUAUCAAUCUUCCCAUAUUGAAGUGAAUGAGGAGAUUUGCGGUCCUCUUCGCAGUGCCGUUUCAGCCAGCCUUUCGGUUGACUCUGGAAAGCCAGCAGCAAAUUGGUCUGCAUUGUCUCCAGGUUAGCAUCGGUAUGGAAAAGGAUUAGAAACAGAAAUGUUCAGUAUACAUUAAAGAGAAAGGAAAAUCGAUGUCCUUAGGAUACAUCCAUCCUAGGCCUGUUUAGAUUUCGGUCGGGAUCGCUGGUGCUGUGCUAGCAAGGCAUCCCAGGACCCUGUGCUCUACGUAGUCACUGUAAACAUCUUGGCCAUCAAGGAGGACCCAUCUUCAAGCUGUUUCUGCCACCGUUAACUCACUGGAUAUGGGGAUGGCUGAGAUAUCUGCUGUCAGUAAAGGACAAGCACUCUGAACAGUAGUUUCUCACUACCUUGUUCUUGGCUCCACAAGCCCGGGGACUUGCAAAUUCAGAGAUCUUUAUUAAAGUACCUUCAGAGGAACUGGAGGGAAAGAAAAAUUAUGCUGCAGGCCCCCUAGUCCUACGCAAUAACUGCUUGGUCACUUGGAUAUUUAGCAGUGAUUUACAAGCAUUAAUGUAGUGGAGCCUCAAUUACAUCCUCAAGGGCAAGGAAGCGUUAUCAGUCCAUCUCCCUUCCCUCCCCACACAAUUUGCAGAUGAAGUAAAGGUAACACAGCAAGGAGGGUUACAGGUGAUUUCUCAUCUGAUGCUUUUACCACUGGGAUAUAUUUCCUCUUCUCUCUCUUUCUUCUCCCCUUAUCCCAAAGGCCUGAAAAUGACACUUCUUUUCUCAGUAUCUUUUGAUAUAUUGAUGUAGGGUGUCUGGAAAACCAAAGUUUUUGAUUUGAAGUAAUAGCCGCUGAGAAUUCAUUGAAUAUAACACUUAUUUUUCUUUCCAACCCUUCUUUACUGCAUUGCAUCUCCAAAUUUAUAAUCUUUCAGCUAUUAUAUGACUGCAUUAUAACUAUCCAAUGAUUACUGUGGGGUUAAUAACUUUGUCCGGUGAAUGUUGGUAUGCCCCUAUUAAUGGUAUGUUUCGAUUGGUUUGGAGAGCAAAUUAUUGUGUGCUUCACCUACUCAGAAACAGCUUUUCCAUGAAAAGACAGAGUAAGACUGUAUCUUUAGGAACAAUCUGUUUUCUGUCUGUAAUUAAUAUGUUCCGGAUUGUUUGGCUACUUUGGUCGGUGUAUCACAAACUAGACUAUUAUGCUCAAAGCUACUUUUGGGACAUGCAGUAAUAGCUCCUUUUGAAAGCAUUAAGAGCAACCCCUGUAAAUCACUGUGGGUUUGAGUAACUAUCUAGCUUUGCCUAAACCAUGCCAGGUUUCUGUAACAAGCUGAUGAGCUAUCACUGGGUAAAAAAAUGUAUCCUUGAUUCACACCUCUCUGGUGUAAAUCCUGUUGCAAUUUUAAAAGCACCUUGUUAUAACAGUGUUGGACAGAGGAAUUCUUGAGGCUAAGUGACAUUUACAGCCUAUGAUACUAGUGUAUCUGCACUGUGUAU